GCCGCGGUGGUGAAAUGGUAUACACGAAGGCCUUAAGAGCCUUUAUCCGCAAGGGUGUGAGAGUUCGACUCUCUCCCGCGGCA
rnacentral:tRNA from 1 species